rnacentral:lncRNA from 1 species
CCGACAUUAGGAGAGAGAGACGGCCACAAAGCUUGGAGAAAAGGAAACCAUUUCCUUUUCCUAUUAGAUGUAAUCUUUCCAUUAUUAUGUAUUAGUAGUUUUCCUAAUCCUAGUGAGUUUAGGUUUUGGAUACUUUCCAUUUAUCUUCAUCUUGUAAUCCUUAUAUAAAGGAACCCCCUUGAUCGUUAAUAAGAAUACACAGAAAUAUUCAGUCUCUAAACUCUCUAUUUACAACGCAUUCCAUUAUUUAUCAAUGUGUUUGUAUUUACUGGUUUUAAAUAUAGUCUCGGUUGAUUCCUUUAAUUAUUUAUCAAUAUGGCUGUACUUAUUGUGGUUUGUAUGGUUCGACAAAACAUAAUAGCUGAUUUAUAAAUUAAUUUUUGAACCAAUUGUUAUGAGAACAGAUUAAUUACCUCAGAUAGUAAUGUAAUUUUUUUUGGUUUGGACGUGGAUAUUGUUUUGACCAAAAAUAAGCAUUAGUCGUUGAAAUGGUCAAGGUUGGUAAAUAUUGUGAAAGAUUAAGGGUAAGUUCAGAUAUGUAUUUUUUUUUUAAUGUUUGAUUAAUUAUACUAUUACAACGAUGAGAAAUAU